CAAGGCUAACAUUUUCCCGAGGACAUUGAGUUAGGGAAGUGGCCUCUCCUUGAGGGAAGGAGCCAGAUGACUUCUCAGAGAACAACAACCAUAUUCAAAAUAUUCUCAAGUUUCUUUUGUUUCUUCUUGUCUGCAUCUGAUAUCCAGGACAUUAUUCCACAGGAAAAGGUUAACAGGAAAUCAAGAUCGGCCCGAUGCUGGGGAUGCCUUGGUGAAAAAAUUAGAGCAACCCAAAGGAAGUCUUGUGUUCUUGAAAGAGGAAUCAGACAAAUACACAGGGCUAAGAGGAGGAUUGUAAGUGAUUCAGAAGCAAAGCUUAUUGAUCACGAAGCAUGACAGUGGAAGAAUUUCCUGAAAAUGGAAGGAGAAGAUGGUUUCACAGCAAAGCUACUAAUCUGAAACAGUAAAAGCAACAAACAAAUGCCCACUCCCCUUAGCUGACCAGAACACAAUCCUUGUGAAAUAUAAAAACAAUUAGGUACAUGUAA
rnacentral:lncRNA from 1 species